CACUCGGUCCCCCUUUAAUCUCGGAUCUAUAGUUACCUAAAUAAACUGAUUCUCAUAUAUAUCAAAUCUUUUCUCCCUUCUUUUUCUGGAUCUCACGCUAUUUUCAGUUUAAAAUUUUGAAAAUUUUCCUCUCUAUAAGAUGCUCCCCCUUUUUCUCAACCAUCUCUCCUUCUCUCUAAGCCUAAUUAGCCGCCAGGCACACCAGCUCCAAAGUCUCACACCAUACCAGGAGCACACACCUUGAACCAGUCAAGACCAUUGCACCAUCGUUGUUUGACCCACUUGAAACCUAACCCCCUCUCUCUCUCUCUCUCUCUCUCUAUUCAAACGUAGGUUGGUGGUAAGUUUCUUGAAAUGGCAUAUUUGAAUACUGAUGAUUGAAGUUUUCCGGCGAUUUGAAGUCAAAUAGGUGGAGAUCCGGUUGAUUUUGAUUGUCUGGAAGCUAGGGUUUAGUUCACCCUUUUGUUCGAUAUUCCUCUUUUUAUAUUUGCGUAUCUGAGGAAAAUUGUGGGUGUUUGAUUCACAGUUCUAUUUUUUUUUUUUUUUAAGUUUUUCAUAUGCAAAUGAAGACACAUGUUGGAUAUAUACAAAUGAUCUGACUUUUUAUGAUUUUUUUUUGUUUUCCCUGGUUUGUAGGUAAAGAUUUCAUUUUUUUUGUAGUUUUGAUGGACUGGAUGUUAUUUCGAUCAAAAGGACCACCGCCAUCACAACCCAGCAAAAUCCUAGCCUCUGUUUUUAGACAAACAUAAUCAAUGUGCCAAAGUAUGUUCCCUUUAAACCCUUACCCCUUUUCUGUUCACUCGACCCAUGUAUUUGUUCACUCAACCCAUGUAUUCAGACCCACAUAAUCAUAAAUGUUGACAUCGAACAUGCUAUUGGAGACCUCUUUCAGAUAUGAGAAAAGUUGAAGGAAAUAGAGAAACAUGAAGAUGGGGUCUACAACUGUUAGUUUAUUUUUUCUUGCAUAUUUCACAUUUUUUACUAUACAGUAUUGGAAAGGUAUAUAAGUUCCAUAUAUUCGCCGAUACUUUUAGACGAUAACAAACUAGAUGCUUUUCAUUGCUUACGUUCCGUUUGUGAACCACCAAGAGGAGUUACUUUAUUAGAUGCUUCCAAUAGAAUACUCAUUUCUUGAGAAAUGUCGAUCUUUACCUUUUUUAUUUGCAAGUUAAUAAAGUUGUGAUUUAAAAAAUGUACAAAUUUUAAUAAUGAUGUAUAGAAUUACAUAUGCCUCAAGUUUUGACAAAAAAAAAAUUAAAUAGGGAACAAGUUAUAAAUUGCUUUUGCUCUUUUCUUCUUAGUUGAAUUUUUAUUUUUUAUCUAGAAUUAUAUACGAUGUUCAUAACUUCAAAUCAUUAAUACAUGAGUAAGUUUCAAAAAUGGUCCCUAUGAUUCCAAAAUUUUUUUAGUUUUAAUACAUCUUUCCACAUCAUGAGAUAUAUUUAUGUUUGUAUUUUUGUGGUUUUUUCUUUCCAGUGCACCAAUAAAUUUAUACCUUUUAUCCAAUAGUUAACCUUUUUUUACAUUUUUCCUUUAUUUGACUAGGUUUACAGGCACAAUAUAUGGAGUUGAGGACAUAUCUCCUUAGCUCUCUUCUAAAUAGAGAUUGAUGAAGGUUGAUACUUCUUGAUUUCAGUUUAUCUAUUUGGUUAUUAAAACAACUUAGGAAACUAAAAAGGUCAAAGUUUCAAACCUCUUCUUGACAAUUUCAAGCCUACAGGGAUGAACCAACAUCCAAUGUGAGACAGGAAAAUGGUGUCUCCAUGGGAGAUCGAAUAUUACAUUUUCAUUUUGAAUUUAUAAAGUCAAAGAAACUAAUAUUUAGCUUCAAAUCUCCUCGAAUUCUUUAUAUUUUCUCGAAACUAUUAAAAAUGUGAUCUUUAAAGGCUUAAAAGAAGCCUUGAUUUUUGUGUAUGUUGUAACUCUAAAAUUUGAUCUUUGAAGUUGAAGCUUCUUAAAGAACAGAUUUGAUUCCUAAUAUGUGUUUUAAAGCUCACUUUCUUAUUGAUUUUGCUUCUUUCUGGCUGCUUCACUUUUUGAUCAUAUGAUUGUUGAUAUCGAGGCUAUGCUGAUGGAACUGGAAUAUAUAAAGAUCAGAUAGGCUAUAAACCACCGAAUUAAUGAUGUAAUAACUAUUUUUCAUGUUUAUUUGAUUUACCAAUGUAUGAGAAACUACCCACUCUAUUUGACUCAGGUGGCAUUAGAGGCCUUAGAGGCCAAGGGAUUUCAGUUGCUUUUGUCCAAAGGAGAAGAGGAUUUGGUUGUUGACUUGACUUCUAGAAUGCUAUGAUAAUCCUAAAAAUAGUAUUUCUUCUUUCACUUGAUCUUUCUUUUUCCUUGAUGUAGAAGGAGAAUGUGAUAAUGAUAACAAUUUGGAACAAAUGAUACAAAUGUAUAGUUUCUAAAUUGUAACCAAAUUUGUCAUUUAACUGUUUUGGGUUUUCAAUUUGAAUAUUUUUAUCUUUAAUAUGGGUUCAUUUGGGAAUCCAUCUUACUACCUUUUUAUUAACAAAAGUUUUCUGUAGGAUCAGUAACCUGGAGACAAUGACUCAUGAAAUUUACAAAUAGGUAGUGGACUUGAAGCAACGAAAGAGGGAUUCAUAUUCUACAUUUCUACUUCAUGUUUUGAUCUGUUUCACAGGUCUCCUCCAGUAAACAUCCAUUUCCUUUAUUUUUCAAAGUACAUUGGUUAGAAGUGUUGUUCAUUUUGUGAUAGGAGUUGAUAGUAAUUGUGAUAUUGACAAUGUUAUCUUAUUUUCCCUUUUUCAAUUUAGAUGUUCGACCUAUCAUGGUUCAGAUAUGACCAAGAAAGCCAUCCCGAUGAGUGAACCUAAUUAGGAAUUCCAGCAAGAAAACAUGAAAAAGACUGAAUUUAGGAUUUUGUUUUUUUGUUUUCUUACUAUAACAGAAAGAGUGUAAACUAUGAUGUUAAAAAUAGACAAAUAAAUGCAAGUAUGUUGUUAUUUCUAUCA